CGUGUCCACCCUGCCGGCACUGAGGGAGCGGGAGCUGAGCUGGAGCGGCGCCGUGUCCUCCCUCCAUCCCGGGGAUUCCCGUCUUCCUCUGCACAUCCACAGCGAGGCUCCGGGGAGCGUGGCCGUGAGAGAUGACCUGCACAAUACCGAGCCGCCCUACUUCACCCUGGAGAUGUCUGGCACCAGUGACGACAUUUCACUUGUAUAUUGGACCCAGAAAUGGUUGGAGAACGGGACCCUUUACUUCCAUGUAUCUUUGCAUAUGAGGGAACAUACUUCAAUCAGCACCUCCCCAACGGUGCAGGAACCUGUGCAAGAACUGGAUGAGCAACUUCAUGUUCUUCAUGUGUCGGUCAUGGGUGACUGAUC